rnacentral:sRNA from 1 species
UCGGACGGAGCGGAGGACGCCGGCUAUC